rnacentral:rRNA from 1 species
AACGAACGCUGGCGGCAGGCUUAACACAUGCAAGUCGAACGAGUGUAGCAAUACACUAGUGGCGCACGGGUGCGUAACGCGUGGGAACCUUCCUCGUAGUUCGGAAUAACUCAGGGAAACUUGGGCUAAUACCGAAUGCCUCCUUCGGGAGAAAGAUUUAUCGCUACGAGAUGGGCCCGCGUCAGAUUAGGUAGUUGGUAGGGUAAUGGCCUACCAAGCCGACGAUCUGUAGCUGGUCGAGAGGAUGAUCAGCCACACUGGGACUGAGACACGGCCCAGACUCCUACGGGAGGCAGCAGUGGGGAAUAUUGGACAAUGGGGCGAACCCUGAUCCAGCCAUGCCGCGUGAGUGAAGAAGGCCUUCGGUU